GAUGAACGCUGGCGGCGUGCCUAAUACAUGCAAGUCGAGCGAACAGAUGAGGAGCUUGCUCCUCUGACGUUAGCGGCGGACGGGUGAGUAACACGUGGAUAACCUACCUAUAAGACUGAGAUAACUUCGGGAAACCGGAGCUAAUACCGGAUAAUAUAUUGAACCGCAUGGUUCAAUAGUGAAAGACGGUUUUGCUGUCACUUAUAGAUGGAUCCGCGCCGCAUUAGCUAGUUGGUAAGGUAACGGCUUACCAAGGCGACGAUGCGUAGCCGACCUGAGAGGGUGAUCGGCCACACUGGAACUGAGACACGGUCCAGACUCCUACGGGAGGCAGCAGUAGGGAAUCUUCCGCAAUGGGCGAAAGCCUGACGGAGCAACGCCGCGUGAGUGAUGAAGGUCUUCGGAUCGUAAAACUCUGUUAUUAGGGAAGAACAAAUGUGUAAGUAACUAUGCACGUCUUGACGGUACCUAAUCAGAAAGCCACGGCUAACUACGUG
rnacentral:rRNA from 1 species